rnacentral:lncRNA from 1 species
UGAUAUGUCUUCCUUCCAAAUAUACGAACUAACUAACAUCUACAGUAAAAUUACAAGUGCAGUGGUUCGACUGGUAUUAAUUACCCUUACUUAGAGGACGCGGCUGGUAACAUCGAUCUACAGUAAAAUUACAUAUGUGCACUAGGUUAACCUUGUGACAAAAAAAAACAGUAACGCGAGAUAUGAUGAAAUAAUUGAGAUGCGUAAAU